CGAACGCUGGCGGCGUGCUUUAUACAUGCAAGUCGAACGAUGAAGUUACUUCGGUAAUGGAUUAGUGGCGAACGGGUGAGGAACACGUGAAGAAUCUGCCCCUCAUUUUGGGAUAACUUCGGGAAACCGAGGCUAAUACCGAAUAUUGAAACAUAAGUGGCAUCACUGAGUUUUGAAAGUUUUUACGAUGAGGGAUGACUUCGCGGCCUAUCAGCUAGUUGGUGAGGUAACGGCUCACCAAGGCAACGACGGGUAGCCGGCCUGGAGAGGGCGAACGGGCCACACCUGGGACUGGAGACACGGCCCAGGACCUCCUACGGGAGGCAGGCAGUAGGGAAUAGUUGCGCAAUGGAGGAAACUCUGACGCAGCGACGCCGCGUGCGGGAUGAAGGCCUUCGGGUUGUAAACCGCUUUCAGUAGGAAGAAGCGAAAGUGACGGUACCUACAAAACGAAGCACCGGCUAACUAUGUGCCAGCAGCCGCGGUAAUC
rnacentral:rRNA from 1 species